rnacentral:rRNA from 1 species
AACGCUAGCUACAGGCUUAACACAUGCAAGUCGAGGGGAAACGAUAUUGGAAGCUUGCUUCCGAUAGGCGUCGACCGGCGCACGGGUGAGUAACGCGUAUCCAACCUGCCCACCACUUGGGGAUAACCUUGCGAAAGUAAGACUAAUACCCAAUGACGUCUCUAGAAGACAUCUGAAAGGGAUUAAAGAUUUAUCGGUGAUGGAUGGGGAUGCGUCUGAUUAGCUUGUUGGCGGGGUAACGGCCCACCAAGGCGACGAUCAGUAGGGGUUCUGAGAGGAAGGUCCCCCACAUUGGAACUGAGACACGGUCCAAACUCCUACGGGAGGCAGCAGUGAGGAAUAUUGGUCAAUGGGCGAGAGCCUGAACCAGCCAAGUAGCGUGCAGGAUGACGGCCCUAUGGGUUGUAAACUGCUUUUAUAAGGGAAUAAAGUGGGUCUCGUGAGACUUUUUGCAUGUACCUCAUGAAUAAGGACCGGCUAAUUCCGUGCCAGCAGCCGCGGUAAUACGGAAGGUCCGGGCGUUAUCCGGAUUUAUUGGGUUUAAAGGGAGCGUAGGCCGGAGAUUAAGCGUGUUGUGAAAUGUAGACGCUCAACGUCUGCACUGCAGCGCGAACUGGUUUCCUUGAGUACGCACAAAGUGGGCGGAAUUCGUGGUGUAGCGGUGAAAUGCUUAGAUAUCACGAAGAACUCCGAUUG